rnacentral:rRNA from 1 species
AGAGUUUGAUCCUGGCUCAGGAUGAACGCUGGCGGCGUGCCUAAUACAUGCAAGUCGAGCGAACGGACGAGAAGCUUGCUUCUCUGAUGUUAGCGGCGGACGGGUGAGUAACACGUGGAUAACCUACCUAUAAGACUGGGAUAACUUCGGGAAACCGGAGCUAAUACCGGAUAAUAUUUUGAACCGCAUGGUUCAAAAGUGAAAGACGGUCUUGCUGUCACUUAUAGAUGGAUCCGCGCUGCAUUAGCUAGUUGGUAAGGUAACGGCUUACCAAGGCAACGAUGCAUAGCCGACCUGAGAGGGUGAUCGGCCACACUGGAACUGAGACACGGUCCAGACUCCUACGGGAGGCAGCAGUAGGGAAUCUUCCGCAAUGGGCGAAAGCCUGACGGAGCAACGCCGCGUGAGUGAUGAAGGUCUUCGGAUCGUAAAACUCUGUUAUUAGGGAAGAACAUAUGUGUAAGUAACUGUGCACAUCUUGACGGUACCUAAUCAGAAAGCCACGGCUAACUACGUGCCAGCAGCCGCGGUAAUACGUAGGUGGCAAGCGUUAUCCGGAAUUAUUGGGCGUAAAGCGCGCGUAGGCGGUUUUUUAAGUCUGAUGUGAAAGCCCACGGCUCAACCGUGGAGGGUCAUUGGAAACUGGAAAACUUGAGUGCAGAAGAGGAAAGUGGAAUUCCAUGUGUAGCGGUGAAAUGCGCAGAGAUAUGGAGGAACACCAGUGGCGAAGGCGACUUUCUGGUCUGUAACUGACGCUGAUGUGCGAAAGCGUGGGGAUCAAACAGGAUUAGAUACCCUGGUAGUCCACGCCGUAAACGAUGAGUGCUAAGUGUUAGGGGGUUUCCGCCCCUUAGUGCUGCAGCUAACGCAUUAAGCACUCCGCCUGGGGAGUACGACCGCAAGGUUGAAACUCAAAGGAAUUGACGGGGACCCGCACAAGCGGUGGAGCAUGUGGUUUAAUUCGAAGCAACGCGAAGAACCUUACCAAAUCUUGACAUCCUUUGACAACUCUAGAGAUAGAGCCUUCCCCUUCGGGGGACAAAGUGACAGGUGGUGCAUGGUUGUCGUCAGCUCGUGUCGUGAGAUGUUGGGUUAAGUCCCGCAACGAGCGCAACCCUUAAGCUUAGUUGCCAUCAUUAAGUUGGGCACUCUAAGUUGACUGCCGGUGACAAACCGGAGGAAGGUGGGGAUGACGUCAAAUCAUCAUGCCCCUUAUGAUUUGGGCUACACACGUGCUACAAUGGACAAUACAAAGGGCAGCGAAACCGCGAGGUCAAGCAAAUCCCAUAAAGUUGUUCUCAGUUCGGAUUGUAGUCUGCAACUCGACUACAUGAAGUUGGAAUCGCUAGUAAUCGUAGAUCAGCAUGCUACGGUGAAUACGUUCCCGGGUCUUGUACACACCGCCCGUCACACCACGAGAGUUUGUAACACCCGAAGCCGGUGGAGUAACCUUUUAGGAGCUAGCCGUCGAAGGUGGGACAAAUGAUUGGGGUGAAGUCGUAACAAGGUAGCCGUAUCGGAAGGUGCGGCUGGAUCACCU